UUUUUGUUUGCAUUUUCUACAUUGAACUUGUCGAAUAAUGACUCAAUGAUGCGGAAAAAUGUCAUAGCUGUUGAAGGUGUGUUCUUCGAGCACUUUCACACAGACAUCACAUUUGACCUGGCAGCACCAGUGGAAUUUGCAAUUGCAACGUUCGCGCACCACAAUGUUUUUGGUGUUGUAGCCUCGUCCACAGCAUAAAAUGCCGCAACCAUCCAAACCGGACGAUGUUUUAUUGCAAACGCGUCCAUGAGUGCCUAUAUUCAAAUAAUAUGGCGCUCUGAGCUAGCUAGGAUUUGACCUACUCCAGUUGAAUCUUUCCAAUUUUCGAUUAAAAAUGACAAGUUUGCUAAUCACUUUUGAGUGUGGAUAUAUAAUAUAAAAAAUAUCCAGUGAGAAAUAUUAAAUGGCAAGAUAUCAAAAAAAGAAAUAAUAGUACAAUGCAAAGACUUUGGCAACUCUAUCGGCAAACAAAGCUCAGUAACAAUUCUGACGAUUGUGAGAGCGGCAACGAACAUUGCAAUUUAUUCCGGUUCGCGGAAAAAUCAGUGAAAUUAGUGAAAAUCAUGUGAAAUGUGUUUUGUGAAUAAAUAAAAUCAUCAAAGUGAAAAAAUAAAAUAAAUCAUAGUGGAAAUGUUAGUUUUAGGGAAGUGUAGUGAAAAAGAGAAAAGGUUUGGGCAUCAAAUAUGAGGUCCUCAAUAGUGCUUUCAAUAAAUGAGAGUAGUAUAAGUGCAAAUCAGUGAAGUAAAGAAAAAAAUGAGUGAAAAGUGCAAAUAUAAAUAAAAGUAAUGAAAAAAAUGAGUGAAAAUUAUUGUAGUGAAAAUGGUCGUCGUGCGCGUAAGCUUCAUGCUCCAACAACCUGAUCUGAAGAGCUUUCAUCGCUCGGUUAUUGCGUUUUGCCAAAGUUUGGUGCAUAGUGGAAAUCAUGGUGAGUGUGGCGAUAUGACAGCAAAUAUGAGCUAGUGAGGGUUGGCAUUGGAACGCUGUAAGUUGCUUUGUUGAAAAUUUUAUGAAAAUUUGAUUAAUCUUAUCAAGAUGGAGAUGAUGACGACGCUACUGACAAGCCGAAACCUGUCAUCAUUUGAGCCAGCAACAGCUCAAGGGUGUAGUGGGUGAGUACCAUUUACAUUUUGCCACUUAAAGCGCUUCCAUAUUGGAGCAGUUAAUAUUAUCAGCUAUAUAUCUUAUGCUUAUGUAAAUGUAUGUGUGCCUGUGUAAAGGAAAUAACGCGAAAGGGUUGCUGUUGUCACAUAGUCAAGUCAUUACAGCAGCGAAGACUACUCACACAAUCGAUGGAUUGCUUCCGUCUUUUCACGCAUACUAUAUACAGUUAUCUUCAUGUACUUUCUUAUGUUACAUCUUGUAGCAAACAUUUCCUUCUUAUGUUCUUAUUGUUGUUGCACGAAUAACUUUGCAAGCAUUUGCUUUGUAAACUGAAUUAUCCUCAUAUAUAUUUUCUUCCUUUUAAAUAUCAAGCCUUUUGGUUGUUAUUGUUGUUGCUAUAAGAAUUUUAUUAAUAGGUGGGCGUAUCUCUUGUGGCAUCUCAAGCUAUUUGGGUGGCCACUGUAGAUGUUUUACUGGAUAAAGCCAAGUUUGGCUUGUGAUUUGAUUAGGCGAAUAAUUUUACAUUAACGCCUUGUCGCAUGCGAUAUUUAGUUAUCAGUAGUUGAUAUCUGUUUGAUCUACACGUAUAUAUUGUUAAUUAAAUAAUGUUGCUUUUAAUAAUUGGUAAGAAAAAUUAUGUUUCUUAGAGGAUAAUAUGAUUCAUGCUUAAUGAAAUCAUUUUAUCAAGGGAAAGGGUUUGAAAACUAGAUCAUAAUAUUCAUAUGGGUAUGAAUUCGAGUAACGCAUUCCAUCGAAUUAACAAGUUCUUGAUAAUAAGAAAAACUUUCCGUAUGAGGAAAAUAAAAUGAGGAAAAUACAUGAAAUUAUAUUUUACUAGCUGACCCGGCCACACGUUUUUGUGGCAAGGUAUACAUUAAAAUAAGUUGGCCCAAUCUUGGCUUGACAUGAUGACAACUUACACUAAUUUUAAUUGCAAAGUGAGUGUUGAUAGUUCAGGCAAUUUUAAAUAGUUUGGGAUAAUUGACUACGUCAUUCUGGUUUGUAGCUGUGUCUGUAUUUUUUUACCACCAAUAUAGGUCAUUCAAUCAGUCAUCUAUGGUUAUUAUAUUGAGGUUUCAUGUCAGGAAAACUUCUCUUUCGAGUCAAUGAAGUGACAGAAAUCUGUUGGAAAUGCUAUUAAUCUAUCGAGGUGUCAACUGCGACCCUACCAUUUCCAACUGAUUCUACAAUCCCAAUUUGAUAUUGUUGCAAAAACACUCAUAUGUUAGCAUGCGAUUAGCCCGUCAGUAACAGUUGAUCCAGGAAUAAUUGGAAGAGUCUGGCGUAAAUCACCAUAAACGUUCAUCGACAAUCAAGAUCUUUAAAAGUCCUCCAGCGACUUCUUGAAUAUUUGGAAAAUCUUCGUUAUAGCGCAAUUUUUGGCGAUUUUGCCGACUGGUGUUUCGUUCAUUUGCAAUUUAGGAGUAAUUUCAAGGCCGAAUGUGCCGUUUGUUUGCCUACUAACAGGUGGCAAGAUACCCCUAUUCCCGAAAAUGAGUAAAAUUGGUUCUGGAAUUACAUCAGCCCUCAUAUACUAUAUAUGAUGAUUUUCUAUUGGACGUUAUGCCGAAUAUAUAGGUACAAUUGUAUGUUAUCUUAAUAAAAUUACAUCAAUAAAUUGCGAGAGUGUAAAAUGUUUUCCAUAUUUACUCACUGUCAAAUCUUUUCCUGGCCUUCCACGAAUAUUUGAACACUAAAAUUAGCCAGAUCGGUUUGGCCGUUAUCGACUUUUUGCGAGGCUAACGAAUAGCAAUUCAUGUUUAUAUUAUAUUUAUGUAACUGUAAAUUAGAAGUAAAACAAAAUGUUAAUUAUUAAUAUCUCCUAACUAAAUUUCAUCAAAAUCCGUUCAGCCGUUUAGGCUUGAUAGAGCAAAACUCCCAGCAAAAACCAUAAAAAAUCACUAACUCAAUUCAGUUUUCUCAGUUUCCUACCCCUUAAGUACGAUGACGUGAUCUUUUUGAUUUUAUAUCCGUUUUUAGGUAACCAUCUAUUACCUUACUAAAUUUCAUCAAAAUCUGUUCAGCCGUUUAGACGUGAAAGAGCAAAAGUCCCAACAAAAACGACUAAAAAUCACUAACUUAAUUUAGUUAUCUGCCUACUGCCUACCCCCUAAGAACCAUGGCAUGAUUAUUUAUAGCCUAUGACCAUUUCUAGGUUAUCAUCUAUCACCAUACUAAAUUUCAUCAAAAUCCGUUCAGCCGUUUAGGCGUGAAAGAGUAACAGACAGACAGAGUUACUUUCGCAUUUAUAAUAUUAAUAUGGAUUUGCAAUGAUCUAAAACUUGAUUACGACCGCCAGUCUUUGGUGCCCGUUGUCUUUCUCUUUAUAUAUAUAUUAUAUAUAUAUAUUAUAUAUAUUUUGUUCAGCAAGCCGCUGCAAUCACUCGUUACUCGACCUGAUAGUCGAUUGCGAUGCGAAGAGAAUGACUUGCAAGACGAUUUUCAGUUUCAGAUUAAGAUUCUCCAUCACGGAGUCGUUUUGAUACCCUCACCUGGGAACUAUUUCAAGAAAGUUGAGAUUCUAGCAAUAAAUAUGGCCUUUGUUACUCGGUGUGAUGUAGCUUUCCUAUGGUGAAAGAAUUUUUGAAAUCAUCACAGUAGUUUUUGAGUUUAUUCUUUACAAACAUACAUAGAAAACUUUCCUCUUUAUAAUAGUAUAGUAUAGAUAUAGAACAACUCGAUAAAAAUUAAAGCAUCUUGGUAUUCCAAAUAAGAAGCAUAAUACAUUAAUCUAUUGUCAGUUAUCCAAUCCAAUAAUUCUAUUAUUGGAAUUUUUACGCAAUAACCAGCAUUAUUUAUUUUAUUUACCGUUAAUUUCGAUCAGAGAUGAGAUGUCUAAAGUAUUAACCAAAAAACUCUUUAACACUUGAGUAUGCGUUUCCUGAGAUCAUUUCCUCUACAUAUUCAAAGACAAUCAAUAGUGAAGUGCAGCAUACUUUUAGGCUGUUUCAAUCUUGAUUCAAAUACAUACAUGCAUACAUGAGU